UACAGAGGGGGCAAGCGUUGUUCGGAAUUACUGGGCGUAAAGGGCGCGUAGGCGGCCUUCUAAGUCGAACGUGAAAUCCCCGGGCUCAACCCGGGAACUGCGUCCGAUACUGGAAGGCUUGAAUCCGGGAGAGGGAUGCGGAAUUCCAGGUGUAGCGGUGAAAUGCGUAGAUAUCUGGAGGAACACCGGUGGCGAAGGCGGCAUCCUGGACCGGCAUUGACGCUGGGGCGCGAAAGCCAGGGGAGCAAACAGG
rnacentral:rRNA from 1 species